CCUACGGGCGGCUGCAGUGGGGAAUAUUGGACAAUGGGCGAAAGCCUGAUCCAGCCAUGCCGCGUGUGUGAAGAAGGCCUUCGGGUUGUAAAGCACUUUCAGUUGGGAAGAAAGCCUUGGGGCUAAUACCCUCGAGGAAGGACAUCACCCACAGAAGAAGCACCGGCUAACUCCGUGCCAGCAGCCGCGGUAAUACGGAGGGUGCGAGCGUUAAUCGGAAUUACUGGGCGUAAAGCGCGCGUAGGCGGUCUGAUAAGCCGGUUGUGAAAGCCCCGGGCUCAACCUGGGAACGGCAUCCGGAACUGUCAGGCUAGAGUGCAGGAGAGGAAGGUAGAAUUCCCGGUGUAGCGGUGAAAUGCGUAGAGAUCGGGAGGAAUACCAGUGGCGAAGGCGGCCUUCUGGACUGACACUGACGCUGAGGUGCGAAAGCGUGGGUAGCAAACAGGAUUAGAUACCCCAGUAGUC
rnacentral:rRNA from 1 species